rnacentral:rRNA from 1 species
AUGAAGGAUCUAGGAGUAGCUGAUGUUAUCUUAAACAUCAAGCUGUUGAGAGAUGAGAAUGGUGGGAUCACACUGCUUCAGUCUCACUAUGUGGAAAAGGUCUUGAGUCGUUUUGGGUAUAGCGACUGCAUGCCUUCUCCAACUCCAUAUGAUGCUGGUGUUGCCACAAGGCCUGACAUCUCAUUUGUUGUGAGCAAGCUGAGUCGGUUUGUGUCAAAACCGGGAGAUGAUCAUUGGCAUGCGCUUGAGAGAGUUAUGCGCUAUUUGAAAGGCACUGCGAGCUAUGGGAUUCACUACACCGGGUAUCCAAGGGUAUUGGAGGGUUAUAGUGACUCAAACUGGAUAUCUGAUGCUGAUGAGAUUAAGGCCACAAGUGGUUAUGUUUUUACACUUGGUGGUGACACUGCCACUGUUGAAGCAGAGUGGCUUCAUGAGCUCUUGAUGGACUUACCUAUGGUUGAAAAACCAAUACCCCCUAUCCUGAUGAACUGUGAUAAUCAAACUGUGAUCGUCAAGAUAAAAAGUUCUAAGGAUAGUAUGAAAUCCUCAAGGCAUGUGAAGAGGAGACUAAAAUCUGUCAGAAAAUUGAGGAACUCCGGAGUUAUUACGUUGGAUUAUAUCCAAACAUCGAAAAAUUUGGCAGAUCCCUUCACAAAGGGUCUAUCACGUAAUGUGAUAGAUAAUGCAUCGAUGGAGAUGGGUCUGAGACCCACC